rnacentral:rRNA from 1 species
AGAGAAAUUUGGAUUAAUCCCCCAUAGUACCAUUGAAUCGCAUGGUUUAAUGGUUAAAGGUUACGGUAAGAGAUGGGCAUGCGUCCCAUUAGUUAGUUGGUGAGGUAAAAGCUCACCAAGGCUACGACGGAUAGCUGGUCUGAGAGGACGAUCAGCCACACUGGGACUGAGACACGGCCCAGACUCCUACGGGAGGCUGCAGCAGGGAAUAUUGCGCAAUGAGCGAAAGCUUGACGCAGCGACACCGCGUGUGGGAUGACGGAUCUAGGUUUGUAAACCACUUUCAGGAGGGAAGAAAAUGACGGUACCUCCACAAGAAGCCCCGGCCAACUACGUGCCAGCAGCCGCGGUAAUACGUAGGGGGCGAGCGUUGUCCGGAUUUAUUGGGCGUAAAGAGCUCGUAGGCGGUUCAACAAGUCGGUCGUGAAAGUUCAGGGCUCAACCCUGAAAUGUCGAUCGAUACUGUUGUGACUAGGAUACGGUAGAGGUGAGUGGAAUUCCGAGUGUAGCGGUGAAAUGCGUAGAUAUUCGGAGGAACACCAAUAGCGAAGGCAGC